rnacentral:misc_RNA from 1 species
UACGUAGGGGGCGAGCGUUGUCCGGAAUUACUGGGCGUAAAGGGCGCGUAGGCGGCCGGCUAAGUCCGCUGUGAAAGACCGAGGCUCAACCUCGGGAGGUCAGCGGAGACUGGUCGGCUUUGGGUCUCGGAGAGGAGCGGGGAAUCCCUGGUGUAGCGGUGGAAUGCUUAGAGAUCAGGGGGAACACCGAUGGCGAAGGCACCGCUCUGGCCGAGUACCGACGCUGAGGCGCGAAAGCUGGGGGAGCGAACGGG